rnacentral:misc_RNA from 1 species
UUUCCGUAGGUGAACCUGCGGAAGGAUCAUUAAAAAAUUGGACUCCAUUGGUGAGUUCAUUAAUAAUCCUACCCUUUGUGAAUUUGUUUGUUUGAAUAAUUUUUUUUCCAAAAAAAAUUAUUGAAUGUCUUUCCCUGUUUUGGUGGAGCUUGUAAAGUGAAACCAGGCAGGGGAAUGGCAAACAAUAAUUAUUUUUGAAAAAGACCUUUUUUAAAAUUAAACUUUUUGUAUUCAUUUGUCUAAAAUUAUUUUUAUAAUAUAAAAACAACUUUUGACAAUGGAUCUCUUGGUUCUCGCAACGAUGAAGAACGCAGCAAAAUGCGAUAAGUAGUGUGAAUUGCAGAAUACGUGAAUCAUCGAAUCUUCGAACGCAUAUUGCACUUUUUUAGUUUACUAAAAAAGUAUGUCUGUUUGAGUAUCAGUAAAAUAUUCUCAUAAAAAAUUUAUUUUUUAUGGUUAUGAGUGUUUUACAACGAUAACAAGUUGUUUCACUUUAAAUUCUUUGUUAUCAAAAAAAUCAUUAAAAGCUAAUUUUAAAGAUUUUUUAAAAUUGGAUAAAAUUUUCCCGUAAAAAGGAAUAACCUAAACAAUUUUAAAAAAUUAAAAUUGGUUUGAUUUUUCUUGAUUUAAAAAGGAAAAAAAAGUAAAAAUUAACUUGAUCUCAAAUCAGAUAAGAGUACCCGCUGAACUUAAGCAUAUCAAUAAGCGGAGGAAAAGAAACUAACUAGGAUUCCCUCAGUAACGGCGAGUGAAGCGGGAAGAGCUCAAAUUUGAAAUCUUCGAGGUUUUACCUUGACGAAUUGUAGUUUAAAGAAGUGUUUUCUGUUGGAGUUUUGGUAAAAGUUCUUUGGAAAAGGACAUCAUAGAGGGUGAGAAUCCCGUAUUUGACCAUUAUCUCCAGCUUUGUGAUACACUUUCAAAGAGUCGGAUUGUUUGGGAAUGCAGUCCAAAAUGGGUGGUAAAUUUCAUCUAAAGCUAAAUACUGGCGAGAGACCGAUAGCGAACAAGUACCGUGAGGGAAAGAUGAAAAGAACUUUGAAAAGAGAGUUAAACAGUACGUGAAAUUGUCAAAAGGGAAGCGUUUGACACCAGUGUUGUUUUCUCGAAAAUCAAUUAAAAAAGGCCGGAUUUUGUGUUGUAUUGACUUUAUCAGCUUUCUGCACUUUUUUCUUGUCUUUUUUAAUGCACUUUUCGUUUAACAAGUCAACAUCAAUUUCUUUUGUUGUAAAAGGGUCAUUGGAAGGUGGCUUUCUUUUCGGAGAAAGUGUUUAUAGCCUUUGGCCUCUGCAAUCGGAGAGAUUGAGGUCCGCAGCGUAGAUCCUUCGGGGUUAGAUACAUUUGUGCUAAGUUAUAGCCUUUCAUAGACAACUUGUUGACUAUGAUCAGUCAUGUAGCUUACUCGCUUAUGCUAUUU